rnacentral:rRNA from 1 species
GAUGAACGCUGGCGGCGUGCCUAAUACAUGCAAGUCGAGCGAACAGACGAGGAGCUUGCUCCUCUGACGUUAGCGGCGGACGUGUGUGUAACACGUGUAUAACCUCCCUAUCAGACUGGGAUAACUUCGGGAAACCGGAGCUAAUACCGGAUAAUAUAUUGAUCCGCAUGGUUCAAUAGUGAAAGACGGUUUUGCUGUCACUUAUAGAUGGAUCCGCGCAGCAUGAGCUAGUUGUGACGGUAACGGCGUAACACGGCAACGCUGCGUAGCCGACGUGCGAGGGUGAUCGGCCACACUGGAACUGGAACACGGUCCUGACUCCUACGAGAGGCAGCAGAAGGGAAUCUUCCGCAAUGGUCGAAAACCUGACAGAGCAACGCCGCGUGAGUGAUGAAGAUCUUGGGAUCGUAAAACUCUGUUAUGAGUGAAAAACAAAUGUGGAAGUAACUAAGCACAGCGUGACGGUACCGAAUCAGAAAGCCACGGCUAACUACGUG